rnacentral:rRNA from 1 species
UACGAAGGGGGCUAGCGUUGCUCGGAAUUACUGGGCGUAAAGGGCGCGUAGGCGGAUAGUUUAGUCAGAGGUAAAAGCCCAGGGCUCAACCUUGGAACUGCCUUUGAUACUGACUAUCUUGAGUACGGGAGAGGUGUGUGGAACUCCGAGUGUAGAGGUGAAAUUCGUAGAUAUUCGGAAGAACACCAGUGGCGAAGGCGACACACUGGCCCGUUACUGACGCUGAGGCGCGAAAGCGUGGGGAGCAAACAGG